rnacentral:lncRNA from 1 species
CCAUAACCAAAAACAGUUGGCGGCUUUGACUGCUGGGCAACCAAUACGACUAAGUGCCCGGGAGGCAAUCACAUUGCCAUAUUCCGAUUCCGAAUCCGAUUCGGAUCCGCAUUUGUAUUUAUGCAUUGCAUCGCGGGUAAACAACAAAUUGCCAUUUGGCCAUCGAACAAAGCCUCAGCGGGACGCCCAGCGGUAUUAAAAUGUCCCCUGCUAUACAACAACAAAAUGAAAAGAAAACCUUUAUAAUAAACAGAAUGACUGCAUUGUAAGUGCAGCAUCAAGCGAAUUUCAUUUGCAUUGUCAACGCAGCCACUGGAAUAUAGUUUUAAAGAGGAAACGGGAUGUGUAGAGAGAAAAUGCAUAUUGCAUUAGCCAAAUAAAUAUUUGUGAG